rnacentral:pre_miRNA from 1 species
GGGGGGAGGCCGGAUCCCGGGCUGUGUCCCGGCGCCCUGUGCUCUGGGGCCUGCGCUGUUGGAUUUGUGCUCCCGCCCCGCAGCCCCCU